rnacentral:rRNA from 1 species
UACGAAGGGGGCUAGCGUUGCUCGGAAUGACUGGGCGUAAAGGGCGCGCAGGCGGCCGUGUAAGUCCGCUGUGAAAGACCGGGGCUCAACCCCGGGGUGUCAGCGGGGACUGCACGGCUGGAGUCCCGGAGGGGGAGGCGGAAUACCUGGUGUAGCGGUGGAAUGCGUAGAGAUCAGGUGGAACACCGAUGGCGAAGGCAGCCUCCUGGACGGGUACUGACGCUGAGGCGCGAAAGCGUGGGGAGCGAACGGG